rnacentral:rRNA from 1 species
UGGGGGAAACCCUGACGAAGCAACACCGCGUGACUGAUGACGGUCUUCGGAUUGUAAAGAUCUUUUCUGAGGGAAGAAUUCUGACGGUACCUCAGGAAUAAGCACCGGCUAACUCCGUGCCAGCAGCCGCGGUAAUACGGAGGGUGCAAGCGUUAUCCGGAAUGAUUGGGCGUAAAGCGUCCGCAGGCGGUUAAUUAAGUCGGAUGUUAAAUCUUGGAGCUCAACUUUGAGGCUGUAUUCGAAAACUGUUUUGCUAGAGACAUUCAAAGGCUAGUGGAAUUCUGUG